rnacentral:rRNA from 3 species
AGCAACAAAUGCCCUGCUUCCAGGAAAAGCCUCUAAGCCUCAGGUAACAUCAAAUCGUACCCCAAACCGACACAGGUGGUCAGGUAGAGAAUACCAAGGCGCUUGAGAGAACUCGGGUGAAGGAACUAGGCAAAAUGGUGCCGUAACUUCGGGAGAAGGCACGCUGACACGUAGGUGAAGUGGUUUACCCAUGGAGCUGAAGUCAGUCGAAGAUACCAGCUGGCUGCAACUGUUUAUUAAAAACACAGCACUGUGCAAACACGAAAGUGGACGUAUACGGUGUGACGCCUGCCCGGUGCCGGAAGGUUAAUUGAUGGGGUCAGCGCAAGCGAAGCUCCUGAUCGAAGCCCCGGUAAACGGCGGCCGUAACUAUAACGGUCCUAAGGUAGCGAAAUUCCUUGUCGGGUAAGUUCCGACCUGCACGAAUGGCGUAAUGAUGGCCAGGCUGUCUCCACCCGGGACUCAGUGAAAUUGAACUCGCUGUGAAGAUGCAGUGUACCCGCGGCAAGACGGAAAGACCCCGUGAACCUUUACUAUAGCUUGACACUGAACACUGGUCCUUGAUGUGCAGGAUAGGUGGGAGGCUUUGAAGUGUGGACGCCAGUCUGCAUGGAGCCGACCUUGAAAUACCACCCUUUAAUGGCUGGUGUUCUAACGUGGGCCCGUGAACCGGGUUGCGGACAGUGUCUGGUGGGUAGUUUGACUGGGGCGGUCUCCUCCUAAAGAGUAACGGAGGAGCACGAAGGUUGGCUAAUCCUGGUCGGACAUCAGGAGGUUAGUGCAAUGGCAUAAGCCAGCUUGACUGCGAGCGUGACGGCGCGAGCAGGUGCGAAAGCAGGUCAUAGUGAUCCGGUGGUUCUGAAUGGAAGGGCCAUCGCUCAACGGAUAAAAGGUACUCCGGGGAUAACAGGCUGAUACCGCCCAAGAGUUCAUAUCGACGGCGGUGUUUGGCACCUCGAUGUCGGCUCAUCACAUCCUGGGGCUGAAGUAGGUCCCAAGGGUAUGGCUGUUCGCCAUUUAAAGUGGUACGCGAGCUGGGUUUAGAACGUCGUGAGACAGUUCGGUCCCUAUCUGCCGUGGGCGCUGGAAGAUUGAGGGGGGCUGCUCCUAGUACGAGAGGACCGGAGUGGACGCAUCACUGGUGUUCGGGUUGUCAUGCCAAUGGCACUGCCCGGUAGCUACAUGCGGAAGAGAUAAGUGCUGAAAGCAUCUAAGCACGAAACUUGCCCCGAGAUGAAUCUUCCCUGAGCCUUUAAGGCUCCUGAAGGAACGUUGAAGACGACGACGUUGAUAGGCCGGGUGUGUAAGCGCAGCGAUGCGUUGAGCUAACCGGUACUAAUGAACCGUGAGGCUUAACCUUACAACGCCGAAG